GAAUAUUGGACAAUGGGCGCAAGCCUGAUCCAGCCAUGCCGCGUGUGUGAAGAAGGCCUUAGGGUUGUAAAGCACUUUAAGCUGGGAGGAAGGCUUAACGGCUAAUACCCGUUAGGAUUGACGCUACCAGCAGAAUAAGCACCGGCUAACUCCGUGCCAGCAGCCGCGGUAAUACGGAGGGUGCAAGCGUUAAUCGGAAUUACUGGGCGUAAAGCGCACGUAGGUGGCUUGUUAAGUUGGAUGUGAAACCCCUGGGCUUAACCUGGGACGUGCAUCCGAUACUGGCAAGCUAGAGUACAGUAGAGGGAAGUGGAAUUUCCGGUGUAGCGGUGAAAUGCGUAGAGAUCGGAAGGAACACCAGUGGCGAAGGCGACUUCCUGGACUGAUACUGACACUGAGGAGCGAAAGCGUGGGUAGCAAACAGG
rnacentral:rRNA from 1 species